AUUGAACGCUGGCGGCAGGCCUAACACAUGCAAGUCGAACGGUAACAGGAAGCAGCUUGCUGCUUUGCUGACGAGUGGCGGACGGGUGAGUAAUGUCUGGGAAACUGCCUGAUGGAGGGGGAUAACUACUGGAAACGGUAGCUAAUACCGCAUAACGUCGCAAGACCAAAGAGGGGGACCUUAGGGCCUCUUGCCAUCGGAUGUGCCCAGAUGGGAUUAGCUAGUAGGUGGGGUAACGGCUCACCUAGGCGACGAUCCCUAGCUGGUCUGAGAGGAUGACCAGCCACACUGGAACUGAGACACGGUCCAGACUCCUACGGGAGGCAGCAGUGGGGAAUAUUGCACAACGGGCGCAAGCCUGAUGCAGCCAUGCCGCGUGUAUGAAGAAGGCCUUCGGGUUGUAAAGUACUUUCAGCGGGGAGGAAGGGAGUAAAGUUAAUACCUUUGCUCAUUGACGUUACCCGCAGAAGAAGCACCGGCUAACUCCGUG
rnacentral:rRNA from 1 species